ensembl:lncRNA
GGCUUUUUCAGCCUGUUUUCAUGCCUGUCCUGUUGAGGAGGGGGGAGUGGAAGAAUGGCUAGGUGGACAAUGCAACCUACCACAGCUGCUUCAUCAUCUGAGGUAUGAACCUCACAGGUUAGGAACCCUGACCUGGGAAAUAGUGGACUGUGAUGUUACAGGAGGAGGUCCUACUUUGAUAUGAGUGAUGUCUAAACUGUUUCAGAUGGGUGGGACUAAUGAAAAUGUUUCUUCAUGGCAGCUGCUUCUCUGGAGUGAAUUCUUACCUGGUUAACAGGGCUUUCUGUGUAAUCCCACAAGUACUUACUGAAAACUUGUGUUUGAUCUCAGCUCACAAUGGCAAAUAGUGACCUCUUUGAUUAUUGCAAGCAAAUAUUACUUUGAGUCCUUUGAGCAAGGCACAGAAUUGAUCACAUUUUACUUUUUAAAAAGUCAUUCUAUGUGUAGUAAGGGAGUGCACGGUGUUUAAAUCGGGGCUUGUAUUUCUAAAUGUGUUCUGGCUGGGCCUUUCAAUUUCUGCUCGUUCACCAUUUCACUGUAGUAGAUCUCAGCUGUGGUAUCUACUAGGGAACCUGUCUAGCUCAUUACAGUUCUGCUGGAGAGUAUCAACCAUAUUUGUGUUUUACAGGUUUAAAUGUAGUGGAGGCAUUCUGAGAAAAUUAUGCUGCUGCAGUAUGUUCUCCGUCAUCUACUCUGGUAGUAUUGCUCUUGCUGAUGAUGAGGAUGGUAGCAGCAUCUUCAGAGCGUUAUAGCUAUGCUUCCGAAGGGGAUAAAGCUCGGCGAAGAAUCUCUGUUAAACGGAAUGUGGCAAAUUAUUAAGGCUGUCUAUAUGAAAGAUGUAAAGCUAUCUGUGGUGGACAAAGAGGACUUCUUAG